UCUGGCUCAGAACGAACGCUGGCGGCAUGGAUUAGGCAUGCAAGUCGAACGGUGCAGCAAUGCAUAGUGGCGCAAGGGUGAGGAACACGUGAGUAAUCUGCCCUCGAGUUUGGAAUAGCUCCUGGAAACGGGAAUUAAUACCGGAUGGUAUCUGGUUGACGCAUGUUGACUGGAUGAAAGCAGCAAUGCGCUUGAGGAUGAGCUCGCGUCCCAUUAGCUAGUUGGUGAGGUAACGGCCCACCAAGGCGAUGAUGGGUAGCUGGUCUGAGAGGACGAUCAGCCACACUGGGACUGAGAACUGCCCAGACUCCUACGGGAGGCUGCAGUCGAGAAUUUUGGGCAAUGGGCGAAAGCCUGAACCCCAGCAAUGCCGCGUGCGGGAUGAAGGUCUUCGGAUUGUAAACCGCUGUCAAGAGGGACGAAAAUUGACGGUACCUCUGAAGGAAGUCACGGCUAACUACGUGCCAGCCGCGGC
rnacentral:rRNA from 1 species